GCGGGAGCCUUGAGAGAGACCCCCUGAGUUUCCCAUGGGGAGCUGAAGUUUGGUUCCUGCCUCUCACUGUGCAUGGUGAUUUAAAAUACGUACCCAUCAUGGGAUACAUGUUGACUGAAUCCACCUGCAUUGGGAUGACUGCUGCAGAAGGCAUUGACUCUGUUUCAUCCCUGCACUUAUUUGGGCUCAUGUGCAAUGCUGAGCUACCCAGAGGACAUCUGUGUGAGUUCCAGCAGCAGCAGCCAAUCAGCUAAUCAUCCUUUUUCCAGUGCCAGGCGAGGUUGACUGGGACCCUGAGUUUGGUUCUACCGUUUGGAAAUAACACAGAGGAUUACUUCUUGGGGUCUCUCAGCCAACCAAAGUCACUUCUUAAGACUGGGCCUUUCUACAGAGGAAUCUUAGGAGCAGAGGCUCUUAGAUCAGAUGAGAAAAGGGUGAUGGAGAAUCUGGUUUUCCUUCUCAGAUCGUUCCUUUCAAGUCCCAUCCUAAAGACUUCACCAACGCUGAGGUCCAACUAUCCUGAUCAGAAUUCAAACCAGGUUCCCAUGAGCACUGGCUCAUCCACAAAGUUAGUAGGCUUGGUAAUGGCCAGGCCUUGAAUUCCCAGAGUCUUGGAUUGACCCAACCAGGGAGUAGUUGGAGAGACACAUGACAAGGGCCAUGCCCUGGAAAGCUGGGCCAGAGCACCUAUCAGUUGAUCACAAUUGCAGGGCAUGAGGAACUUGGAAUAGAAAACAGAGUACAAAGAACUCAUCAGAACACCACAGACAGGACCUCUUGAUCACUGGAGAAGCUAUUCAGGCAGCCACUGUCCCCAGAGAACCCCAGGAAAGAACAAAAACAGGGGUGUCAUUUUGGAGCCUUCAGUCAAGAAUCAUCUCCUGUUCUUGGCUGGGCUGCCAUGAGGGUGGGGUGCACACAGAGCCCUGGGAAAGGAAGAAAACACGGUUGCAACACCACUAUUUUGUUUCUUCUAACACCCUCCUUUUUCCCCACUCACAUUUGAGCACUUACGGGCAUCAUUUGUUCUAAAACAAAGGAAGAAAAAUAUAUCUGUUAUGAGUUCCCUCUGUGCUUGACUGAGUUACCUGGCAUUGGGAUGGCUUGUUUUCUGGGAUGCCCAGAGCUGUACACAUUCCUUUCUGGGGUGAAUACUUCGUAUAGAGAGACAUAAACAGCCAACUAGGCUGCAGGGAGUAAACCCUGUUACUAACUUUUCUUUCUUUGGUGCUACAUUCCUGCGGAGAUAAAUAUAUAGAAAGACAGACAGAUUAUAAAGGAGGAAGGGCAUUGUGUCAGCAUGAGGGCUCCAAGAGAACAAAAAGGGUUAUCGUGUGCAAAGGUUGAAAAUAGAAUUUAAAGCUAUCAGGACUGGGGAAAGAGUUGAGGCCUCCCAGGAAAAAUCUGCAAAGAAAACUUGAACCUUCCAGGAAAACAAGCCCUGGGUAGAGUUGGGUGAAACUGAAACCUGAAAAUCCAUUUUCCAGAAAUGCGAUUGGGCAGAGAGGAGGGAAGCCACUACUAUCAAGUUUUUCCCAGAGCAAGCAAGGCACGCUGGCUUUGUACAAAGAGGCUUAUUUAGAAGCUGCCCUGAGCUGAAUGCAGGCAGGUGGGGCAGGGUGGGAGGGUGGGAUGGGUCGUUGAAAUGAGCCAUCCUAACCUUUCAGACAGAAACAGUGCAGCCUAGCUGCUCUGAGGUGCAUGUUUCUAAAACAAGACCUGGAACAUUAAUUUUACAUUUCAGUCUCUUUGUAAAAAGCAGAUGCUCCUCGCCCACCCCCUUGUUUUUUUUUGGCAAGCUUGUGAAAAUCCAACGAACCAAGUCAAGGCUGUCCGCUAGCCACGGGUGCCUUUAUCUUGUGGAGUAUCUGUUCCUUUGUGGAUCAAGCAUGGAAUGAAAACCGUGCUGAAGAAAGGUCGCUUCUCAUUUUAGACUCCAUUUCAAUGGGUAGUUAACCUCUGAGUCAACCGACUCUGUACCCAUGUUCAAUUUCCUCCGCCUGUUGGGCUCUUCCAUUUACCCUCUUUUAUAAUUAGAGUACAUCUUGUUUACAGUGCACAAAGCUGGUUUAAGAUCCAGUUGGCCAUGUGCCCUCUCGUUACAGGACCGUGCUCAGAACAGUCAGCUGUGAGUGCAGCCAGUGGGAUGAAAAAAACUAAGGGAAGGAAGCUGCCCUUUAAGGAACCUCGGCCUUACUGAUUAAAGUAAUAAUUAAGCCAUUAUAUCUGUUGGGGAGCUAUUUGGGCUUGCCUGCUACCUUUUCCAACAAAAGCCCUCAGCCAGAGAUUCCAGCCAAGCACCUCAUUAUCAUGUGGGUGCCAGGGCGGCAUGCCAGGAUCGGCACCCACCCCAGGCAACAUGGUUUAAAUUUUAAACACCUGUCAUCUCCCUGCCUCCAUGUAUCAUUCAUUUUCAGAGGGGAAAGUGACCCUAACAGGAAGUGGGGCUGCCUGAUUCUGGGUUUGCCUUUGAAAGCCAGAAAUGACCCUUCUCCUGAAAUUUUAUUCCAAAUUUAAUUUGAAGCUAUCUCAGUCUAGAAAUAGAUUUGCAUUGGCAUCUCUUGUUGCAGUUGGUAAGGAAAGGAAUUUAGGAUUCAAUUAGAAUUGGUCUUCAUUCUUAACAAGAUUGUUGUCUUAAAGACAAGAAAUAUAUAGCAUGUCUCACUGCAUCCCUCCACUCCCCACCAUGGCAAAAAGGGCCCUGGCAUGCAUAUGUGAUUUUGUGACAUGCAAAGAUCCACUUUUACAACUCCAUGGAGGCAUAUCUUAUUUAGAGAACACUAAGGUAGUUUAAGGCUCUCACUGGCCACUUGCCUUCUUAAAACAGAGACAACCUAUGGAUUAGAGAGGAAGCAAGACUGGAGAAGGCAGUUUGCACCGAUUGGGGCAGGGCAGGUAGAGGAGUGAGCAUGGUUGUAAUAAACUGGGUGGAAUUUAAGGUCUCAGUCCAAAGGCAUCCCAUCUUGCUCCUUCUGGACCCCGUCUCAAGCCUGGCUCCAGCUCCUGAGUCCCACGGCUCUCCAAGGCCUCUUUCUGUUCAUCACAGCCUACGGAGAGAGAUGCAAAGUGGUUUGUGUUUAUUUUAGAAAUAAUCUCAACGUUGCCAGGAAAAGGCUUUCUGGAAAAUGCUGCAGAACUAAAGCUGGUCCAGUAGAAACCGGUGUAAGUGCAAAGAGCAGAGCCAGCUCCUCCCCAGCUCUUUCCCCAGGCUGUUCUUCCUGCUUUUUGAUCUCAGCCUCACUCUACUCCAUCCCUUCUUGAUCCAAGUCCAGAGUCUCUUUCACACCAGCCACGCUGCCAGCAUUGUCGGGAGGUUUGAUGUGGUGUGAAUUCCUGCCCCUGGGAGAUGGACGGAGAAAUUCACAGAAUCUUGGGAAAAGAGAGCUUGGGAAAAUCCUGAAGUCUCUCUUUGCAGCCUUUCUUCUACCAACAGACAAGAUGGAAACUGGCCAUUUCAGAGCACUGGCUUCAAGGAUGUCUAAGGGUGUACUCCAACAUGAAAACGGAGCAUGCAUGUGAGCUGAGUAGUGACAUGCAACAUGCAUGUCCAUUGAUCCUUGCUGCUCAUUCACAUACAGUGUUCGCGAUGCCCCCUGGACACAGAAUUCCAGUGGACCCACCACGUGUGGGGAUUCAGGGGAGACUCAAAGCAAAUACAAGGGUGAGGAGAAAAGAUGAAGAACAGUGGAGAAAAGUGGAGAAAAGAUGAAGUUUAUGCAGCAAAUUGCUAACUGGAACAAGGAAAAAAGGCCCUUGGAUAUUCUAUUGUCUGCACUGAUUGAGGCAACGAGAAAGCUAAUGGAAAUAGUGGAUCUUGAGAUGAACAAGACAUACCCCUAAUUCGUAAGACACCCGAGGUCUAGUGGAAAAACAAAUCCCUAAAGCAGUAGUAAAACCGCAGUCAUGAUAAAAUGGUAAGUCUGGUGACUGGGAGGUAAAGGGGGAAGCACUGGGAAGGGCAUGAAGUCCAACCUGGGCUGACCAGGGAAGGCUUCCUGGAAGAGGCGAGUGUUGAAAUGCAUGAGUAUGAACCAGGCAAAGACUGGAGGAGACACAGAAUCCCGUGGACGUAAGAAACAACAUCAACGUGGAGGGAAAACCAGCAGUUUGGUGCCACUGGGGCACACAUAUAGAAGAGCAAAAGCCAAAGCAGGGACUGGGUCACAGAGGCCCUUGUGUGUCAUUCCAAG
rnacentral:lncRNA from 10 species